rnacentral:rRNA from 1 species
AUGGGGCGCAGCAGGCGAGAAAACUUUGCAAUGUGCGAAAGCACGACAAGGUUAAUCCGAGUGAUUCCUGCUAAAGGAAUCUUUUGUUAGUCAUAAUACCACUAUUGAAUAAGGGGUGGGCAAGUUCUGGUGUCAGCCGCCGCGGUAAAACCAGCACCUCAAGUGGUCAGGAGGUUUAUUGGGCCUAAAGCAUCCGUAGCCUGAUCUAUAAGUUUCCGGUUAAAUCCACAUGCUCAACAUUUGGGCUGCCGGAAAAACUGUAGAUCUAGGGAGUGGGAGAGGUAGACGGUACUCGGUAGGAAGGGGUAAAAUCCUUUGAUCUAUUGAUGACCACCAGUGGCGAAGGCGGUCUACCAGAACACGUUCGACGGUGAGGGAUGAAAGCUGGGGGAGCAAACCGGAUUAGAUACCCGGGUAGUCCCAGCUGUAAACGAUGCAGACUCGGUGAUGCAUUGGCUUGUGGCCAGUGCAGUGCCGCAGGGAAGCCGUUAAGUUUGCCGCCUGGGAAGUACGUACGCAAGUAUGAAACUUAAAGGAAUUGGCGGGGGAGCAC